CGAGUUUUGCUCCGUUUCAGAAUAUGCGUCGGAGUACUACUGCGCAUUAUGGCGCUAAAACAUACGGGAUGCUUUUGAAAAGGAGACUUUGGCUUUUCUCGUAAAGCUAAAGCUUGUUUCAUUCGGAGAGAAGUUAGGCUCGCGGUGUCUUUUUACCGCUCCUGCCUGGAAUUUUAACCCAGACCACCACGAAGGCCUCAGCUUCAGCUCCACGUACUGACUGGCAUUUAUUAGAAGACAACGUACUGUCACCGAUUAACUGCAGAAAGUAUUGCUUGGAAGACUUGUUCAAGAAAAGUACUUAAGUCCACAUCUUCUGUGAUUUAACAGAUCUGAAGAUGAAAUCAAUUGAGCGACAAGAAAGCUGACUGAUUAAAUCCUUGAUAGUACAGAAACACUAAUGGCUUAGAGG